rnacentral:lncRNA from 1 species
AAUUUCAAUUUAUCGACUUGCAUGUGUCAAGUUUCUGACAUUUUGAGCUUAGUUCGAAGAACAUUGAAAAUACAUUUGAUGUUAUAACACAGUUGUACUGCUUCAGUUGAAUAUUGAAACUCCCAGGUACUAAAAUCAGCAGAUUUCGACCAGGCGAUCCUACUCAUUCUUUUACAAUUAACAUUGUUACUAUAUCAAGUUUUUG